rnacentral:rRNA from 1 species
GACGAACGCUGGCGGCGUGCCUAAUACAUGCAAGUCGAACGCAUUUUCUUUCACCGUAGCUUGCUACACCGAAAGAAAAUGAGUGGCGAACGGGUGAGUAACACGUGGGCAACCUGCCCAUCAGCGGGGGAUAACACUUGGAAACAGGUGCUAAUACCGCAUAAUUCCAUUUACCGCAUGGUAGAGGGAUGAAAGGCGCUUUUGCGUCACUGAUGGAUGGACCCGCGGUGCAUUAGCUAGUUGGUGGGGUAACGGCCUACCAAGGCUGCGAUGCAUAGCCGACCUGAGAGGGUGAUCGGCCACACUGGGACUGAGACACGGCCCAGACUCCUACGGGAGGCAGCAGUAGGGAAUCUUCGGCAAUGGACGCAAGUCUGACCGAGCAACGCCGCGUGAGUGAAGAAGGUUUUCGGAUCGUAAAACUCUGUUGUUAGAGAAGAACAAGGAUGAGGGUGGAAAGUUCAUCCCUUGACGGUAUCUAACCAGAAAGCCACGGCUAACUACGUG